GUCAGUUGUUAGGAGGAGAGGAGACGGGACUGGGUUCAGAUAUUCAUAUAUGUCCAAAAUGAGCACAGAUUUCCCGGCAGGCCCCACCAGAUGUGCCACUGUGUUAUACUUUGAUGGUGGGAUUGCGGUGGGUAAGACCACCGCCCUGGAGGCUGCUGCUGAGUUUCUGCACAACAUACUUGUGAUCUCAGAACCUAUUCCUUACUGGACUUCCACUUUUGACAAAAAUGUCUGUCAGCAGAUCUACGAUGUGGUCAAGACCAAAGAAAAGGGGAAGAAGCACUCCAAAAAAGUGUUGCAAUGCCAAAUGGCCUUUGCCCAGCCUUUUCAUGCCACCCAGCACCUACUCCGCCGGACGUGUCUAGGUACCAAGGUCUCCGAUGGAACAUGUAACAAUUAUGUGUUGAUUGACAGGCAUAUGGUGUCUCCCACAGUCAUCUUUCCUUGCCUGUUUUUCAGAUUGGGGGUGUUGAGGUUCUGUGAUUUGUUAUCACUAUUGUCUGUGUUUUCAGCACAAAAAUUUGAUAAUGUUGUCUUGUUUAAACUCCAUCCCAAAGUAGCUGCGACCCGAGUCAAGGAGAGGGGGAGAAACCCAGAAGGUGUGAUCAACCACACGUACCUGCAACUCCUCAAUGAAGUAUUGGAUGCCAUUUUUUGUGCCUGGGAACUGUUGGCGAUCGUGCCUCCUGAAGUUAUUGUGGAUGCUAUGCUUUCCCAGACUUCAGUUAAGACUGUGUUUCAGAAGGCUGGCUUUGUUGCACCCAGGGCAAGGCUUAUGGAACAGAUGUUUAGAGAUAGUAUUUUUAAUGACUUGAGAGAAAAUGUGCGUCAGUUGCCACUACAUGGAUCAUCCAUCCCAACCUUGCUACAUAAAUUUUGUUAUGAACUAUCCAAACCACAUAUGGUUAAACUAGAUGCUGGACAGUUUCCUAACGAUGUUCCCGGUUUGUGGACUCACAUAUAUACCCAAAUACUCACAGACCCGGCUAUUAAAACAUGCGACCUGAAAUGGAAUAUCCUAGAAAAGGGCAUAUCUGGUGGAGACCCUCAGUAGUAAUAAAUAGCCAAGCACAAUGGUGACAUGUUUGAAAAA
rnacentral:tmRNA from 1 species